rnacentral:rRNA from 1 species
GACGUAGGGCGCAAGCGUUGUCCGGAUUUAUUGGGCGUAAAGAGCUCGUAGGCGGCUUGUCGCGUCGACUGUGAAAACCCGUGGCUCAACCAUGUGGUCUGCAGUCGAUACGGGCAGGCUAGAAUUCGGUAGGGGAGACUGGAAUUCCUGGUGUAGCGGUGAAAUGCGCAGAUAUCAGGAGGAACACCGGUGGCGAAGGCGGGUCUCUGGGCCGAUAUUGACGCUGAGGAGCGAAAGCGUGGGGAGCGAACAGGAUAGAUAC